rnacentral:rRNA from 1 species
GGAUGAACGCUGGCGGCGUGCCUAAUACAUGCAAGUCGAGCGAACAGACGAGGAGCUUGCUCCUUUGACGUUAGCGGCGGACGGGUGAGUAACACGUGGAUAACCUACCUAUAAGACUGGGAUAACUUCGGGAAACCGGAGCUAAUACCGGAUAACAUGUUGAACCGCAUGGUUCAACAGUGAAAGACGGUCUUGCUGUCACUUAUAGAUGGAUCCGCGCCGCAUUAGCUAGUUGGUAAGGUAACGGCUUACCAAGGCAACGAUGCGUAGCCGACCUGAGAGGGUGAUCGGCCACACUGGAACUGAGACACGGUCCAGACUCCUACGGGAGGCAGCAGUAGGGAAUCUUCCGCAAUGGGCGAAAGCCUGACGGAGCAACGCCGCGUGAGUGAAGAAGGUCUUCGGAUCGUAAAACUCUGUUAUUAGGGAAGAACAAAUGUGUAAGUAACUAUGCACGUCUUGACGGUACCUAAUCAGAAAGCCACGGCUAACUACGUG